UGAAAUCUCGUACUGGGAGCCAAAUUGUCUAGAAACGGCCCUGAUCAACAAUAGCAUGAAUAAAUGAUUUCUUUUAUUUGUUUCAUGAUUUGCAGUGUUUACAAAAAGCAGUACUGGUCGUCCUACAGUCACUCCCAUGACAUCUGAUGAUGAUGACGCUGCGGAAGCAGGUCCAUCAAAAGAAGUCUUGAGCAGCAGAAGGCAGACUCCUGUACCUCACCAAAAAAUAAUACAUGUGGCAACAAAGAAAGCAAGGUCUGAUGUCCAGUCCCAACCACAGCAGUCUACCCCGCCACGAAGAUUAUCUACAGUUUCUUCGGUCCCACCACUGCAAAUUUUAGACACACCUCCAAGACGCCAACCACACUCCCCUCAUCUUGAUUAUUCUAGUACUGGUACCAGCAUCCCUAUGCAACACCAGCAACACAGUGACAUGGAUGAGCCAAUCAUUUUACAAAUGCAGCCAGUAAUCGAAGGAAUCAGCCACCCAGCACCUGUGAGUACACCACCACAGCAAAACACACCACCACCACCACAACACAGCCCAACAACACCAGUAACACAAGGCCCUGAUCAAGUGUUUUGGGACACUUGGGCUACACAGCAGGCCACUAAUCAAGAUUGCCUGCGUAGGCAGACCCAAAUUUUUUCAAGCCUACCAUCUCACCUCAGAAGAAUCAGCAGAAAUAUCAGUUGACAAAAUGAAUCAACCACGAGAAUUGCCAAUACCAUGGAAAUCAUGCGUGCAGACAUUACACAUGUCAUGGGCAACUUACAACGCAUAAUGGAAGAACAGCACAGAUAACAGCAAAGCUAUAUCAACAUUUUAGAAAACAAUCAAAUGAUCAAUGAAUAUAUCACCAGAAUUUUAGAAAAUCAGAAUGCUGCAACACGUGAACUCAAUGCCACCCUCACUAACCUCAAUGAAACACUCAGAUCCCAGCACCAAUA